UAUUUAGUUAUUGAAAUGCUUUCUUUUUAAAAAAAAAAGUGAGACGUGUAUGUAAAGACCUUAAUCAGACAAGAGAGAGAUAGUAAAGAAAAAUAUAUUUUCCUAUAUAUAGAGGGACAAAUUAAUAACAAGUAUUCAAGUAAUGACUUAUUAUGCCACUCUCACGGGUUUGAAAUUAGAAUUUUAUGAUGGUGGACUGGUGGUUGUUGUUGUUGUUGUUGUAGUAUUUGGUAUUUUAGAAUUAUUGCUGAACCUGAGCAAAAUUUUUUGUUGCUGGAUAACAUCAUUGAGUUGAAUUUUGUUGCUGGAUAAUAUCACGGGGUUGAAUUUUGUUGCUGGAUAACAUCAUUGGGUUGAGUUUAAUACUUGAAUAGUUGAAUUUGUUAUUGUGUUGUUUAAAAAAUCACUUAGCUAAAUCUUUUGUUGCUGUAAAUUUUUUGUUCCUUUGCCAAGUAUAUUGAUUUUUUUUGUUGAAUGGAAAAUUUAGGAUGGGUGUAUAGUUUCUGUGAUGAGGAUAUUGGUGCUUUGAUAAGCAUGUGCUUAUGCCUUUGGUUGGUAAUGCAAUAGGUUUUGAAUUUCAGCAGAUUGUUGAUAUUGGCAAAACUCUGCCAUUGUUCAUGGAGCUUCAAACCUUAGGUGACAGGAUGUGAAGAACCAUGCUCUGCAAAGUGUGUUGUUUUCAAUGUUGCAGGUCUCAUUUAAUUUGAGUUGAACCGUUUGGUUAUGUUGCCUGUGGGAUUUCCUCACAUUUUUGUGCUAACUGAACAAUUUGAAACUAUAGGCGUGUGACACUUAUUAGAAGCUUCUCCAUGAGAAAGAAGAUGUAUGAAUAUGAUGGAGUUUGUAAUUUGUAGUUUAUAUUUUAGA